UACGUAGGGGGCAAGCGUUGUCCGGAAUUAUUGGGCGUAAAGGGCUCGUAGGCGGUCUGUUGCGUCGGGAGUGAAAACUUACAGCUUAACUGUGAGCGUGCUUUCGAUACGGGCAGACUUGAGGCAUUCAGGGGAGAACGGAAUUCCUGGUGUAGCGGUGAAAUGCGCAGAUAUCAGGAGGAACACCGGUGGCGAAGGCGGUUCUCUGGGAAUGUCCUGACGCUGAGGCACGAAGGCCAGGGGAGCAAACGGG
rnacentral:rRNA from 1 species